AUAAAUAAAUAAAUAAAUAAAUAAAACAAGUCAAUGUGGCAAAAAGUGUGAAGAUGAUAUAUUAAACAUGACUGCCAUUUGGGAAAUAUGGUUCUAGGGCUGUCCAGCUGGACUUUCUGCAAUGAUUGAAAUGUUCUAUUCUGUGCUAUCCAAUAGCCACAUGUGGCUAUUGAGUACUUGAAAGGUGGCUAGUGUAACUGAGGCACUGAAUUUUAAAAUUUUAUUUUACUAUAUAAAGACAAUGCAGAUCUUGGGUGAUAACCGUGAUUGAUAAUGCAUGCCUGGAAUACUGUCUUUAGGAGGACUCAGCGGUCAGUAGUUCUGUGACAGAUUAUUAAUGCCUGGUGUGGGUAUGAGGGGGAAUGUGAUGGUGAGAGUGUCAUUUAUUGGCCAUCCCUAGACUACGUUUUCUUAGAGGGUCCUUCUAGCUCUAACAUUUCAGAAUGAUAUAUUCUUCCCUAAGCCUUCGGUAGAAUUUAGUACCCAAUUAAUGAUCUGUCUAACCCAGGAUGUCAUGGAACUAUUUGUUUCUGAUUUCUGUGUUUUUUAGAAAACCUCACACCAUCUGCUUGUUUCCUGAUAAACGUAGAGACUACUGAUUAGAAGGCUUCACUUUAAAGUAUUUACCCAUAUCUACAUGCAUUUGCCUGAAGCUAAUUAUUUCAGGCUGGUGAGAUGUGAGUCACCAUUUCCUUUUCUCAAGAAAGACACUAAAAAGUCACCUCUUUAGAGGCAGGGGAUCAUUACCAACGGAAAAGGAAGGACCCCAUCUGUUUAAUGUGUGGCUAAAAGUGGGGUGCUGGAAAUAACCUUUCUCCACGUGACUACAGAGUUGGGACAGGCUGUCAACAGGCUUCGGCUAUCUUGGAGAGAAAGUCCCAGAUUCUGCCAUGGAGAACAGAGGCAAGGCAUGGCAUGGAACGCUCCCUCCACCCACCGCCAUAGAAGCUGAAUGUCAAGCAGGUUGGCAGCUUUCCCCAGCCCUCCCCCAGUGUCCCUGCCAGGCACGGAAGGACGGGUCACAGGGCUGACCCUGGCUGGCAUUUCAGACAGCUUUAUAAUUACACCAUCUAUUUUUCAACUUGCCACUGACCUUUUGGUCUUCUCAUUUGUGAGCAUGCGAGCAUGUGUGUAUGUGUGUGCGUUGGAUGUGUCUUCUUUUAUCUUUGCUUGAUGCUCUCAUCCUCAUUUCCUUUUCUCUUCUCCUCUGGUCUUGUUUAUCAUUUAAACCACAGGUUGUUAGGGCCAAGUUGGUUUCUCUUUCCUUCUGCUUUAUCCUAUUAUGGAAUUAUCUAGAAUGAGCCCUGUCAUCUCUCUGACCUCACUUUCCCAUCUGUCAAAUCAAAGGUUUUGAUUGGAUCAUAAGAAUUGGUAACAUUGAAUUUUUUUUUUUUUUUUUUUUUUUU
rnacentral:lncRNA from 1 species